UACGAAGGGGGCUAGCGUUGCUCGGAAUUACUGGGCGUAAAGGGCGCGUAGGCGGUUGUCUAAGUUGGGGGUGAAAGCCCGGGGCUCAACCUCGGAAUAGCCUUCAAUACUGGAUAUCUUGAGUUCGGGAGCGGUGAGUGGAAUGCCGAGUGUAGAGGUGAAAUUCGUAGAUAUUCGGCUGAACACCAGUGGCGAAGGCGACUCACUGGCCCGAUACUGACGCUGAGGCGCGAAAGCGUGGGGAGCAAACAGG
rnacentral:rRNA from 1 species